ensembl:Y_RNA Y_RNA Y RNA
GGCUGGUCUGAGUGCAGCGGUAUUUACAUCUAACUGAUCACAACCAGUUACAGAUUUCUUUGUUCUUUCCCCACUCCCACUGCUUAAAACUUGAGUAGCCUAAA